rnacentral:lncRNA from 1 species
ACCACAUCCUCCGCACUGACCCAAAGAAAAGCAAAAAUAGAAAAACAACAAAAAACAGAACUAAACAAAAAAUAUCUAAGAACCGCUUUGCUGUCCUAAUAAAUAUUCCUCUUUUUUUUAUAUUGUAUAAUAAUCCUGACGCUUAAUGAAAGUUCUGGAGGUUUCUUUAGCAAAUUUGGUUGGCCAUUUCCAAUGAUAGUUACUCAAUAGUGUUUGACGUCUCUGGGAGCCAUUUCAUUUUGAGGAAGGUGUGUGUUAGGUUAGCCAGUUGGCUGAGCUCCUGGGGAUGUGUGGCCAAUCGAUGCCUCCCGUCAAAGGUGAACCGGAGCAUCAAUUAAAAAGCGUGGGCCACAUUUUUUUUUUUUGAGCAAUUUCCCCACUGAAUAACGUGGUGGUAAGAGCUGAAAGAGUGUUGAGUUAUAUCGAGCCCGGAGCUCUCCUGUCACACUUCACUGUGGGAGGCCCAACUCUGAGGCACCGUCUGUCAUAAUACAGUCCAGUUGUGCACUGUAUGGGGAAUAGGGUGCCAAUAUAGGACACAGUAUCCCCUAUAUAAAAAUAGGGUCCAUUUUGGACACAGGGCCAGUCUUCUCUAAACCACUGUCUAGUCACAAUGGGGGAAAUCACAAGAAGCCUAUGACAAUGGGGUAUGACAUUGAACAACUUGGAAUGCCAUUGUGGUGAAUAUGUUCCUAGGACUUGAUAGAAAUAUGGUAGAUAGAUAUGACUGACUGGCUUGAUAUCUGGACGGAGGCAGUGAGACAGACACAGCAUGGGACGGAUUGGAGAAGUGGACGGUGUAAAAAAAGGCAGUGAACUGAAGCAGCUUUGUAGCCCAGCCUGGAUAGAUACUGUAGACUGAAACUGAACACUGCUGUUCUGUAGAUACCAAAGACAUAGGGGCGAAUCCUAACUUCCACUAAAGUCAGUGUUUAAGUUAGUGAUGCAUUGAUGUCAAUGGGAGAGAAAGUGAACAUUUUACUUACGUGGAAGUUGGCCCCAUAGAGCCAAGGUAACUGAGACUCUAUGAUGGUAAGCAAUGGAGAACAUAGGUUUAGUCUCUCAGUGAUAACCUUACUCUGACGAAGAGAUAAUGAGAAGACUAACACACUGACUGAAACACUGUGUGUGUCGGAUGUAGUAGAACAUGCCUCCAAUUAGUAACAGGUGGAGGUGCACAACACAGCGCCUCAACAACUUCUGCCUGGCAACAGGAGCUAAUGACCCUCUCUGGCUGGUUUGUUCUGACACAUAGGCUAGCUAGCUAGAUCUUUAACUGCAGCUCCCUAAAACGUAGUGAGAAUCACUGUACAUUUCUAACAGACAUUUUACCAGGCCAUUGUGCUACAACUAGCGUAGAAUAAGAGAGGAGUUCAGUCAGUCUUGAUACUGCCAUUUCAACGACGUAAUGACCUCACCGAUAUCGCUCUUACCCGAUCGAGGGAAACCUCUCCUCACUUCAAUGUUUUGUCUUUCUUGAAUCUCAGGUAGCAAUUUGGAGCGCAUACGGUUCUGUUGUGUGCUUUUUGUCAUUUCUAUUUGUAACCUAAUUUUCCUUGUAUGUCAUUGCUAUUGAAUCUUAGACGGUAACAAUAUGUGUAGAGUGUUGAUCUUUGUGAUCAAAGGAGAUUGCGGUCAGAUUCCUGCGGUUAAUCAAAGGUUUCUUCCUUAGUCUGUCUCUUAAAGUAGCAGCUGUAAGAGUGAUCUAUGAUGUAGAGCACAUAGUUUCAGGUACAGUUUGAACACCAUAGAGGUUGAGGAGCAAACGUCGACCCGACCGACGGUCUAGCUUAAGAUCUGGAUACCUCAUACUGUAGCAGCUAGCCUGCUCACGCGUGGCAGGAAAGAAAAAUACGCAGCAAAAACAAUGUUAUUACCCAGAGAGACGUGCAGAAAUGUAGACGGUUGUUGUCACUGGUGUGAAAAGGGUACAGACGUUUUGGGUUUGUUUGUCUGUUGGAAUUGUAAAGUGGGUGACUUUGCGCAUAUAUCUUGUGAUCUCAAAGUUUUCUGUACUCGGAAAGUUAACGCAAAAGAUGAGGGGAAGUGACAGGGUGAGUGAAAAGAGGAAAGAGAGAGGUGUUUGGGGACAGUGAGCAGCUGAGUAGCUCUGGUGUUGGUAGAUUGGUACAGUAAAUUUGAUCAUUGACUUGUUAUUGGAUGGAAGACAUGUGGGUUGAAUGUUUUACGGGACAACAGAUUGUCGAAUGGUUAUAUUUUCUCCGAUUGCAUUGCCUGUGUUACGGUGGCUAUGAUGGCAGCUCACUAUGUAGACUACGUAGUUCACAAUGUGCCCGUUUUCUCUUGGUUGUGAAAAGCACAACCCAAUGGGAUGAGCCACUGUAGUAAAUGAAUGUUGAUCAAAUGAUCAACAAUAGCCAGUGCGUCACAGACCAAUGGACACAAAGCAGGCACAUGCCCAAGACAGCUUUCACUGUAGCACCUUAGAGUAGGUUGUACAUUUGUACUAGUAUUUUCAUUAGCACAACUCCUUCAAAAAUGUACGGUUCCCUUAUAUAAGAUAGCUUUUCCGUGUGCUUUUUUUCUAUCCUGUAGAUAUUGGAAUCAUUUGGAAGCUUCGUUAAAGGCACUCGAUAAACAAUUACAUUGUUACAGACCCAUGAUGUCACUGCCAUCUUUCCCAGAACGCAAUGCACAGCCUGCCUUUGAAUCACAUGAACUGAUGGAUCUCAAUAUGUGCAAUUGUUAACGAAAAAAGAACACUACAAUUCCCUCUUUUUUUCUAAAAAAAGAGGCUUUGAGGGACACUGGAGCGGAUCCCAAUGCCCUGAGGGGAGACAAAUUGGGCCCCGUCAAUUGAGAAUGUGACUAAAAUUGGUUUUGUGGUUCAGCUCCUGCACUGUCCAAUAAAGAGGGAAAACCUCACAGAGGAAGAGCGAGAGAAGAGAGAGAGUGAUGCCUUUUUAUGGCUCUAGCACCACAGCAAGCAGGCAGGCAGGGACACAGAGGAGGUGUCCGGAAUGGAACCCUAUU